rnacentral:misc_RNA from 1 species
GAUGAAGAACGUAGCGAAAUGCGAUAAGUAAUGUGAAUUGCAGAAUUCAGUGAAUCAUCGAAUCUUUGAACGCACAUUGCGCCCGCCAGCACUCUUGCGGGCAUGCCUGUUCGAGCGUCAUUUCAACCAUCAAGCCCCCAGGGGCUUGUGCUGGGGCCCUGCGGCUGCCCGCAGGCCCUGAAAACCAGUGGCGGGCUCGCUAGUCACACCGAGCGCAGUAGCACAUCUCGCUCAGGGCGUGCGGCGGGCUCCUGCCGUGAAACCCCCCACUGUAACCCCAAAGGUUGACCUCGGAUCAGGUAGGAAUACCCGCUGAACUUAAGCAUAUCAAUAAGCGGAGGA